GUAGGGGUAGUAUAGGUUGAAUAUGUUUGUUUUACACACAAAAGAUGCAGAGAAUUCGGCUCCCUAAA
rnacentral:tRNA from 1 species